rnacentral:rRNA from 1 species
UACAAAGGGAGCUAGCGUUGUUCGGAAUCACUGGGCGUAAAGCGCACGUAGGCGGAUGUGUCAGUCAGGGGUGAAAUCCCGGAGCUCAACUUCGGAACUGCCUUUGAUACAGCACGUCUUGAGUCCGGAAGAGGUGGGUGGAAUUCCUAGUGUAGAGGUGAAAUUCGUAGAUAUUAGGAAGAACACCGGUGGCGAAGGCGGCCCACUGGUCCGGUACUGACGCUGAGGCGCGAAAGCUAGGGGAGCAAACGGG